UACGUAGGGGCGUAGCGUUAUCCGGAAUUACUGGGCGUAAAGGGUAGCGUAGGUGGUUUUUUAAGUUCAGAAGUGAAAGGACUACGGCUCAACCGUAGUAAGCUUUUGUAAACUAGAGAAACUUAGAGUGCAGGAGAGGAGGGUAGAAUUCCUAGUGUAGCGGUGAAAUGCGUAGAUAUUAGGAGGAAUACCAGUUGCGAAGGCGGCUCUCUGGACUGUAACUGACACUGAGGCACGAAAGCGUGGGGAGCAAAC
rnacentral:rRNA from 1 species